rnacentral:rRNA from 1 species
AGAGUUUGAUCCUGGCUCAGGAUAAACGCUGGCGGCAUGCCUAAUACAUGCAAGUCGAACGAAGAGCUUUUGUAGCAAUACGGGAGUCUCUUAGUGGCGAAUGGGUGAGUAACGCGUUGGUGACCUGCCCCGAAGUGUGGGAUAACAGUUCGAAAGGACUGCUAAUACCGCAUGUGGCCAUUGGGUUUAGAAGCUAAUGUCUAAAGCAGCAAUGCGCUUCGGGAGGGACCUGCGUCCCAUCAGCUAGUUAGUGAGGUAACGGCCCACCAAGGCUACGACGGGUAGGGGACCUGAGAGGGUGGCCCCCCACACUGGCACUGAAACACGGGCCAGACACCUACGGGUGGCAGCAGUAGGGAAUAUUGCACAAUGGGCGAAAGCCUGAUGCAGCAACGCCGCGUGCGCGAUGAAGGCCUUCGGGUCGUAAAGCGCUUUUCGGAGAGAUGAGAAAGGACGGUAUCUCCGGAAUAAGGAUCGGCUAACUACGUGCCAGCAGCCGCGGUAACACGUAGGAUUCGAGCGUUAUCCGAAUUUACUGGGCGUAAAGCGCGUGCAGGCGGUUUGGCAAGUCGGAUGUGAAAGCUCCUGGCUCAACUGGGAGAGGCCGUUCGAAACUGCCAGACUUGAGGACGGUAGAGGGAGGCGGAAUUCCCGGUGUAGUAGUGAAAUGCGUAGAUAUCGGGAGGAACACCUGUGGCGAAAGCGGCCUCCUGGACCGUACCUGACGCUCAGACGCGAAAGCUAGGGGAGUGAACGGGGUUAGACACCCCGGUAAUCCUAGCUGUAAACGAUGCAAACUUGGCGUCGGUGGGGUAAAAGCCAUCGGUGCCGUAGCUAACGCGUUAAGUUUGCCGCCUGGGAAGUACGGCCGCAAGGUUAAAACUCAAAGGAAUUGACGGGUCCCUGCACAAGCAGCGGAGCGUGUGGUUUAAUUCGCUACGCGAAAAACCUUACCCGGGUUUGACAUACAGGUAGUAGGGAUCAGAGAUGUGACCGACCCUUCGGGGAGCCUGAACAGGUGCUGCAUGGCUGUCGUCAGUUCGUGUCGUGAGAUGUCCGAUUAAGUUCGGUAACGAACGCAACCCUCGCCACGUGUUACAAGUGUCACGUGGGACUGCUGAUAUAAAGUCGGAGGAAGGUGAGGAUGACGUCAAGUCAGCAUGGCCUUUAUAUCCGGGGCUACACACACGCUACAAUGGCCGGUACAAUGGGUUGCAAAGCCGCGAGGUAGAGCCAAUCCCCAAAGCCGGCCUCAGUUCAGAUCGUAGGCUGCAACUCGCCUGCGUGAAGUCGGAGUUGCUAGUAAACGCGCGUCAGCAUUAGUGCGUUGAAUACGUUCCCAGGGAUUGUACACACCGCCCGUCACGUCAUGGGAGCUGGUAACACCUGAAGCCGGUAUCCUAACCCGUAAGGGAGGGAGCUGUCGAAGGCGGGACUGGUGACUGGGACGAAGUCGUAACAAGGUA